rnacentral:rRNA from 1 species
CCUACGGGCGGCAGCAGUGGGGAAUAUUGCUCAAUGGGGGAAACCCUGAAGCAGCAACGCCGCGUGAAGGAAGAAGGUUUUCGGAUUGUAAACUUCUUUUGUUAGAGAAGAAAAUGACGGUACCUAACGAAUAAGCACCGGCUAACUACGUGCCAGCAGCCGCGGUAAUACGGAGGGUGCAAGCGUUACCCGGAAUCACUGGGCGUAAAGGGCGCGUAGGCGGGAUAGCAAGUCAGAUGUGAAAUCCUUCGGCUUAACCAUAGAACUGCAUUUGAAACUGUUAGUCUAGAGUGUGGGAGAGGUAGGUGGAAUUCUUGGUGUAGCGGUGAAAUGCGUAGAGAUCAAGAAGAACACUGAUUGCGAAGGCGACCUACUAGAACAUAACUGACGCUGAAGCGCGAAAGCGUGGGGAGCAAACAGGAUUAGAUACCCGAGUAGUC